AUUGAACGCUGGCGGCAGGCCUAACACAUGCAAGUCGAACGAGUGGCGGACGGGUGAGUAAUGUCUGGGAAACUGCCCUCUGGAGGGGGAUAACUACUGGAAACGGUAGCUAAUACCGCAUAUCAUCGGAUGUGCCCAGAUGGGAUUAGCUUGUAGGGGAGGUAACGGCUCACCUAGGCGACGAUCCCUAGCUGGUCGGGGAGGAUGACCGGCCACACGGGAACGGAGAAAAGGCCCAGACUCCUACGGGAGGCAGCAGUGGGGAAUAUUGCACAAUGGGCGAAAGCCUGAUCCAGCCAUGCCGCGGGUGUGAAGAAGUUCUUCGGAUUGUAAAGCACUUUAAGUUGGGAGGCGUUACCAACAGAAUAAGCACCGGCUAACUACGUGCCAGCAGCCGCGGUAAUAC
rnacentral:rRNA from 1 species